AUGAACGCUAGCUACAGGCUUAACACAUGCAAGUCGAGGGGCAGCAUUUUAGUUUGCUUGCAAACUAAAGAUGGCGACCGGCGCACGGGUGAGUAACACGUAUCCAACCUGCCGAUAACUCGGGGAUAGCCUUUCGAAAGAAAGAUUAAUAUCCGAUAGUAUAUUAAAACCGCAUGGUUUUACUAUUAAAGAAUUUCGGUUAUCGAUGGGGAUGCGUUCCAUUAGUUUGUUGGCGGGGUAACGGCCCACCAAGACUACGAUGGAUAGGGGUUCUGAGAGGAAGGUCCCCCACAUUGGAACUGAGACACGGUCCAAACUCCUACGGGAGGCAGCAGUGAGGAAUAUUGGUCAAUGGACGAGAGUCUGAACCAGCCAAGUAGCGUGAAGGAUGACUGCCCUAUGGGUUGUAAACUUCUUUUAUAUGGGAAUAAAGUAUUCCACGUGUGGGAUUUUGUAUGUACCAUAUGAAUAAGGAUCGGCUAACUCCGUGCCAGCAGCCGCGGUAAUACGGAGGAUCCGAGCGUUAUCCGGAUUUAUUGGGUUUAAAGGGAGCGUAGGUGGAUUGUUAAGUCAGUUGUGAAAGUUUGCGGCUCAACCGUAAAAUUGCAGUUGAAACUGUCAGUCUUGAGUACAGUAGAGGUGGGCGGAAUUCGUGGUGUAGCGGUGAAAUGCUUAGAUAUCACGAAGAACUCCGAUUGCGAAGGCAGCUCACUAGACUGCAACUGACACUGAUGCUCGAAAGUGUGGGUAUCAAACAGGAUUAGAUACCCUGGUAGUCCACACAGUAAACGAUGAAUACUCGCUGUUUGCGAUAUACAGCAAGCGGCCAAGCGAAAGCGUUAAGUAUUCCACCUGGGGAGUACGCCGGCAACGGUGAAACUCAAAGGAAUUGACGGGGGCCCGCACAAGCGGAGGAACAUGUGGUUUAAUUCGAUGAUACGCGAGGAACCUUACCCGGGCUUAAAUUGCAUUUGAAUAAUCUGGAAACAGGUUAGCCGCAAGGCAAAUGUGAAGGUGCUGCAUGGUUGUCGUCAGCUCGUGCCGUGAGGUGUCGGCUUAAGUGCCAUAACGAGCGCAACCCUUAUCUUUAGUUACUAACAGGUUAUGCUGAGGACUCUAGAGAGACUGCCGUCGUAAGAUGUGAGGAAGGUGGGGAUGACGUCAAAUCAGCACGGCCCUUACGUCCGGGGCUACACACGUGUUACAAUGGGGGGUACAGAAGGCAGCUACCUGGUGACAGGAUGCUAAUCCCAAAAACCUCUCUCAGUUCGGAUCGAAGUCUGCAACCCGACUUCGUGAAGCUGGAUUCGCUAGUAAUCGCGCAUCAGCCAUGGCGCGGUGAAUACGUUCCCGGGCCUUGUACACACCGCCCGUCAAGCCAUGAAAGCCGGGGGUACCUGAAGUACGUAACCGCAAGGAGCGUCCUAGGGUAAAACUGGUAAUUGGGGCU
rnacentral:rRNA from 1 species